rnacentral:tRNA from 2 species
GAGGUAGCUCAGUGGUAGAGCGGCCGGCUGUAGACCGGCGGGUCGUGGGUUCAAUUCCCACCCUCCCGA